CCAGCAACCCUUUUCUCAGUCGCCAUCUUCUUUUCUUCUCCUUCUCGCUAUUUGGGGAAACCCCUGUCUGAGAAAGGAAGAUUCCAAGUCGCCGGCAGCGCGGACCGCGGGCAGCAAGGCGCGGAGGAAGCCGGCGGAACUUGGCGCCGGGCGCGGCCGGGCUCAGAACGGCCGGGGAUGCGGCCACACUAGCCGGGUAACCUUGCCCCGCUCGGGAUCCCGUUCUCAGGGAUCAUCCACUCCUCCCCCACAAUUCAAAAUUUUUAUUUGGAUCGCUGUGUUAAUUUAGAAUGAGAUAAAUGGAAGUAAAAUAAGUUGAAAUAAAA